rnacentral:rRNA from 1 species
AUUGAACGCUGGCGGCAUGCCUUACACAUGCAAGUCGAACGGCAGCACGGGUGCUUGCACCUGGUGGCGAGUGGCGAACGGGUGAGUAAUACAUCGGAACAUGUCCUGUAGUGGGGGAUAGCCCGGCGAAAGCCGGAUUAAUACCGCAUACGAUCCACGGAUGAAAGCGGGGGACCUUCGGGCCUCGCGCUAUAGGGUUGGCCGAUGGCUGAUUAGCUAGUUGGUGGGGUAAAGGCCUACCAAGGCGACGAUCAGUAGCUGGUCUGAGAGGACGACCAGCCACACUGGGACUGAGACACGGCCCAGACUCCUACGGGAGGCAGCAGUGGGAAUUUUGGACAAUGGGCGAAAGCCUGAUCCAGCAAUGCCGCGUGUGUGAAGAAGGCCUUCGGGUUGUAAAGCACUUUUGUCCGGAAAGAAAUCCUUGGCUCUAAUACAGUCGGGGGAUGACGGUACCGGAAGAAUAAGCACCGGCUAACUACGUG